CCCUUAGAUGUUCUGGGCAGCACGCGCGCUACAAUGGUCUUCGCAAACGGAUGCAUUCUCGAAGGAGAAUGCCAAUCUUGGAAUCUAUGCCUUGGUCGGGACAGUUGCUUGCAAUUUUUCGACUCGAACCAGGAAUUCCUUGUAAUCGUGAUUCAUCACAUCACGAUGAAUACGUCCCUGCCCUUUGUACACACCGCCCGUCGCUCCUACCGAUCGAAGAGUUAGGUGAAUUGUUUUGAUCGAUAAGAUUUGACUAUGGUCAACUCUCGUUGUGAAAUUCUGUGAAUCUGACUGUUUAGAGGAAGGAAAAGUCGGAACA
rnacentral:rRNA from 1 species